rnacentral:rRNA from 1 species
GGGAAACAACCCAGACCGCCAGCUAAGGUCCCAAAGUCAUAGUUAAGUGGGAAACGAUGUGGGAAGGCCCAGACAGCCAGGAUGUUGGCUUAGAAGCAGCCAUCAUUUAAAGAAAGCGUAAUAGCUCACUGGUCGAGUCGGCCUGCGCGGAAGAUGUAACGGGGCUAAACUAUGCACCGAAGCUGCGGCAGCGACACUAUGUGUUGUUGGGUAGGGGAGCGUUCUGUAAGCCUGUGAAGGUGUGUCGUGAGGCAUGCUGGAGGUAUCAGAAGUGCGAAUGCUGACAUAAGUAACGAUAAAGCGGGUGAAAAGCCCGCUCGCCGGAAGACCAAGGGUUCCUGUCCAACGUUAAUCGGGGCAGGGUGAGUCGACCCCUAAGGCGAGGCCGAAAGGCGUAGUCGAUGGGAAACGGGUUAAUAUUCCCGUACUUGGUGUUACUGCGAAGGGGGGACGGAGAAGGCUAUGUUGGCCGGGCGACGGUUGUCCCGGUUUAAGCGUGUAGGUGUGUGUUCCAGGUAAAUCCGGUUCACUUUAACACUGAGGCGUGACGACGAGGCACUACGGUGCUGAAGCAACAAAUGCCCUGCUUCCAGGAAAAGCCUCUAAGCAUCAGGUAACAUCAAAUCGUACCCCAAACCGACACAGGUGGUCAGGUAGAGAAUACCAAGGCGCUUGAGAGAACUCGGGUGAAGGAACUAGGCAAAAUGGUGCCGUAACUUCGGGAGAAGGCACGCUGACACGUAGGUGAAGUGAUUUACUCAUGGAGCUGAAGUCAGUCGAAGAUACCAGCUGGCUGCAACUGUUUAUUAAAAACACAGCACUGUGCAAACACGAAAGUGGACGUAUACGGUGUGACGCCUGCCCGGUGCCGGAAGGUUAAUUGAUGGGGUCAGCGCAAGCGAAGCUCCUGAUCGAAGCCCCGGUAAACGGCGGCCGUAACUAUAACGGUCCUAAGGUAGCGAAAUUCCUUGUCGGGUAAGUUCCGACCUGCACGAAUGGCGUAAUGAUGGCCAGGCUGUCUCCACCCGAGACUCAGUGAAAUUGAACUCGCUGUGAAGAUGCAGUGUACCCGCGGCAAGACGGAAAGACCCCGUGAACCUUUACUAUAGCUUGACACUGAACAUUGAGCCUUGAUGUGUAG